UUCAAUACCUUAACGAAUGCUCUUGCAAGAUGUCCUCAUUGUCGCAAAGUAUCAUCUGUCGGCAGGCAGUUCUCCAGAAGUAGAGGAAUUAUAUUCUCUAUUAUAGCCAUUAUUAUGUUAGCAAUAGGCUUAGGAGUAACGUUAGGAACAAUAUUCACAGUAAAACAAAAUGGAGGAAUAAUAGUUGUAUAUACUGGUGCUUUUCUUCUGUCAAUUUUGUUUUUUAUUCGUGCAAUUUAUUACUUCACAAUGAAAGUUAGCAGCAUCGAAGGACCUGUUUAGUACACUGUAAUUCUGAUGCUUCAAAUCGAAGUUUUUCUACAGCAUUGACAAGAUUGUAAGCUGCACAAUUUUAAUUGGAUACUUUUGAACUACUCCAAGUGCUUUAGUUUAUAACUGUGCCAUUUCCUAAGAAUGUCCUUUAUCUUCUAAUGUAAGUUAAGAAUUGCAUGACAGUUAAUUGUUAAAUUUAAAGGGGAAAAAAAUGCUUGCAAUUUGGAGUUAUUUUUAUAAUAAAUUUGAUAUUAAGCCAUGAAGAUGUAAAGUUUUGUAAACAUAUUCCAUAAAGAGAAAAAAUGGUAACCAAUUCUUUCCACUGAAAAUCUGAAGAGAAUCUAUAUUAUUCCCUAUAGUCAUUUAUAUUAGAUUUACCUCUUCUGUGGCACUUCAUGAAUAAUUUCCUCUGAGACUGAAUUGAAUAGGCUAGUACGCAAAAGCAUAAAUCAAUGUGUAAUUGUAAACAUCGCUGAUGUGUUCGUUCUUUUUUCAAAUUUUCGAAAUCAUAAGUUAUUUUCAUAAAAGUAGUUUUGACUAUAAAUAUAGUAAUAAAACCUUAAACUCAGGCAUACUCUAAUUUCAAAUUUCAAAUUAAGUACGUUUUAGUGAAAAAAUUGCUGCCAUUUGUUCUGCACAAAUGCUAUUAACCCAAUUCAUUGCUAGUUGAGUGCAGUAGAAUGCUUCCCUAAUACCAUGUGUGCAAAGUUGGAAAUACUAAAAUUGGAGUUAUCUAUAUUUAAUUUCUUUUAAGGUAAUACAUGAAAAAUGAGUGAUAGUUGAUUAUAAGACAUUAAUGAAAUAAAAUAAUUACAACGUUAUUACUAAUAAUAUUGUAAAUCAUUUGAAAAACAAGCAUAAUUCUCAUGAAAGUUGGGCUAGUUUUUAGAUUGAAUCCAUUUUUCAAAAACUGCAGUCAAAAAAUAAAAUGCGAUUUUGCACCAUGCAGUACCAGAGAGCAAUUAAUCUACUGUAAACCAAACACUCAUAUCUUCCAUAUAGGAACUUACCAUGUCAUGUAUAUUGUCUAGGAUGUAUAUUUGAGAUAUUUUUGACAGACAAAUGACAGGCACUUCACUAGUGCAGAAGGGGUUAAGCAUCUUAAGUCAAAUAAUGCAAGUUAUUUUUAUCAAUGUUUUACUUCAAAUCCUUUCUUUUUUCUUAUUUUAUUUAUUUAUUUAUUUUUUUGAGAAUUAUAUUAAAUUUUACUUUUAUGCUGGAAGAUCUAGAUCAAAACACAGAAAUUCUUGAUAAGAAAGAAAAUUUAUCCAUUUUAAAGGAAUUAGUCAUUUUUAAAUAUGUAUUAUAGGAUUUUCCCCCUUCUUCCUAAACCAAUUGUAGUUUUCACAUUAUGGAAAAAAUAUUUUGAUUUUUAAUGCAGUUCAAAAUUUUGAUGCCCACAUUCUUUCGUCUUGUUGGUUGACUUCACGUCUUGUGAAAAUCUAAUUAUGGGAAAUCUACAUUUAAUCAAACACACACUGACAUGAUAUCUUGAAUCAUUUACAUUAUUUGAAACCUUGAUCUGAAAACUUUUUUCUUUUCUUUCUGUAUUUAGUGUGCAAUUGCUUGAGUGCUCAGUAAGCACUCUUAAAUGUGCUAAAUCUUCUUAAGUCAAACAUUCUGGUUUAUAUUUUGUUUAUGUAAGGAAGUGGCAAGCACUUUCAAAUUUUUGCAUUGAGGUUUUGUUUAUGUGUAAAACUGCAUAAGUCAUUUGAAAAUAAACAGCAAAUCUGUUAACUUUUUCUUUUCCUAUGAAAAUAAAAAAAAAUAUUCAAUUUACAUCUCUUGAAAUUAUUAUCGGAAUCAAAUUGUUAAUAUUCAGUGUUUAUAAUUUAUAUUUAAGGAGUGGUUUCAAAUUUUGUGUGUGUGAG